rnacentral:rRNA from 1 species
UACGAAGGGUGCAAGCGUUACUCGGAAUUACUGGGCGUAAAGCGUGCGUAGGUGGUGAGUUAAGUCUGUCGUGAAAGCCCCGGGCUCAACCUGGGAAUGGCGAUGGAUACUGGCUCGCUAGAGUGCGGUAGAGGAGAGUGGAAUUCCCGGUGUAGCAGUGAAAUGCGUAGAGAUCGGGAGGAACAUCAGUUGCGAAGGCAGCCUCCUGGGCUAGUACUGACACUCAAGUGCGAAAGCGUGGGGAGCAAACAGG